rnacentral:misc_RNA from 1 species
GUUUUUGUAUGCUCCACUACUUAACUGGAGUCUGGAAGUAGUAUAUCUGUAUUUAGAUAUGUAAACACGAGAUUGUUUUUUAGCUUAUGAAAGUAUACAGGAGGCAGAAAGAACCAGAAUGCUGAUACUUGUAAUUAGCACAUUUUAAAGAUAAUUGCUUAGGUUAAGUAGUCAAUUCUGAAUCUUAAUGUGGCGUUUAUUUGAUCUUCUU